UGGCCUGACUUCUUGUACUCAUAACAAAUGACGGGCUAUUCUUUCUCUUUUUCUUUACUCAGCUCUCCCUUAACUGGUGAUCUUCUCUUGGUCCCUUGUCUUUUUUUCCUCAUGAAACAUCUAAAUUUUUUUGUGAUUAAUACCAGAUCCUUAUCAUCUUCACUGUUUUCUAAUUUUUUUGAAUCUUCUUCUUCUUGAGCCAUUGAUUUGAGGGCAAUUGUCUUCUUUCUUUUGG
rnacentral:lncRNA from 1 species